GUAGGUGGCAAGCGUUGUCCGGAAUUAUGGGGCGUAAAGCGCGCGCAGGCGGUUCUUUAAGUCUGAUGUGAAAGCCCACGGCUCAACCGUGGAGGGUCAUUGGAAACUGGAGAACUUGAGUACAGAAGAGGAAAGCGGAAUUCCACGUGUAGCGGUGAAAUGCGUAGAGAUGUGGAGGAACACCAGUGGCGAAGGCGGCUUUCUGGUCUGUAACUGACGCUGAGGAGCGAAAGCGUGGGGAGCAAACAGGAUUAGAUACCCUGGUAGUCCACGCCGUAAACGAUGAGUGCUAAGUGUUAGGGGGUUUCCGCCCCCCUUAGUGCUGCAGCUAACGCAUUAAGCACUCCGCCUGGGAUACGGCCGCAAGGCUA
rnacentral:rRNA from 1 species